AGUGAACGCUGGCGGUAGGCCUAACACAUGCAAGUCGAACGGCAGCACAGUAAGAGCUUGCUCUUACGGGUGGCGAGUGGCGGACGGGUGAGGAAUACAUCGGAAUCUACUUUUUCGUGGGGGAUAACGUAGGGAAACUUACGCUAAUACCGCAUACGACCUACGGGUGAAAGCAGGGGAUCUUCGGACCUUGCGCGAUUGAAUGAGCCGAUGUCGGAUUAGCUAGUUGGCGGGGUAAAGGCCCACCAAGGCGACGAUACGUAGCUGGUCUGAGAGGAUGAUCAGCCACACUGGAACUGAGACACGGUCCAGACUCCUACGGGAGGCAGCAGUGGGGAAUAUUGGACAAUGGGCGAAAGCCUGAUCCAGCCAUACCGCGUGGGUGAAGAAGGCCUUCGGGUUGUAAAGCCCUUUUGUUGGGAAAGAAAAGCAGCAGGUUAAUACCCCGCUGUUCUGACGGUACCCAAAGAAUAAGCACCGGCUAACUUCGUG
rnacentral:rRNA from 1 species